CCUACGGGAGACUGCAGUGAGGAAUAUUGGUCAAUGGACGAGAGUCUGAACCAGCCAAGUAGCGUGAAGGAUGACUGCCCUAUGGGUUGUAAACUUCUUUUAUAUGGGAAUAAAACGUUCCACGUGUGGGAUUUUGUAUGUACCAUAUGAAUAAGGAUCGGCUAACUCCGUGCCAGCAGCCGCGGUAAUACGGAGGAUCCGAGCGUUAUCCGGGUUUAUUGGGUUUAAAGGGAGCGUAGGUGGAUUGUUAAGUCAGUUGUGAAAGUUUGCGGCUCAACCGUAAAAGUGCAGUUGAAACUGGCAGUCUUGAGUACAGUAGAGGUGGGCGGAAUUCGUGGUGUAGCGGUGAAAUGCUUAGAUAUCACGAAGAACUCCGAUUGCGAAGGCAGUUCACUGGACUGCAACUGACACUGAGGCUCGAAAGUGUGGGUAUCAAACAGGAUUAGAUACCCUUGUAGUC
rnacentral:rRNA from 1 species